GACGAACGCUGGCGGCGUGCUUAACACACGCAAGUCGAACGGUAAGGCCCUUCGGGGUACUCGAGUGGCGAACGGGUGAGUAACACGUGGGUGAUCUGCCCUGCACUUCGGGAUAAGCCUGGGAAACUGGGUCUAAUACCGGAUAGGACCACUGCCUGCAUGGGUGGUGGUGGAAAGCUUUUGCGGUGUGGGAUGGGCCCGCGGCCUAUCAGCUUGUUGGUGGGGUGAUGGCCUACUAAGGCGACGACGGGUAGCCGGCCUGAGAGGGUGACCGGCCACACUGGGACUGAGAUACGGCCCAGACUCCUACGGGAGGCAGCAGUGGGGAAUAUUGCACAAUGGGCGCAAGCCUGAUGCAGCGACGCCGCGUGAGGGAUGACGGCCUUCGGGUUGUAAACCUCUUUCAGCACCGACGAAGCGCAAGUGACGGUAGGUGCAGAAGAAGGACCGGCCAACUACGUGCCAGCCGCCGCCGUAA
rnacentral:rRNA from 1 species